rnacentral:lncRNA from 1 species
UGAUUGUGAGGACCGCUGCCCUGAGGGCUGUAUAGCCAGCUGGGUCUUCAUGGAAGAGAAACCUUUCCAGGGAGCUGGGCAGCUUCCAGGGCCACCAGUCCUGUCCUGGCACCAUGCUGUAGAUGUCAUGACCUAAUGGCGGCUCACAGGAAGUGACCUCAUCAGUGUGCCUUUCAAGCCACACAGGAUGGGUCGGAGCCUGACACUGGGCCGGUCGCUCUGGUUUACACCAAAUCCAACCACUCGUGGCCUGCAGAUCCUCAGUAUAAAUAGCUGGAAAAGCCUGACCUUGACAACCUCAUUCUUCAUUCCUUUCUUGUUACAGGUGGAGCCAGCUAGAACCAUCAAUGCCCUGAAAGAACUAGGAAUUCCCUGAAACAACUCGAAACUUCCCAGAAAGCCCAGUGCACCCAGCCGUGUGCUGGAAACAAACAGACACAAUCCACAGGUUGCAGAAACCCGCUUGUUAAGUGGCGAAGGGAAACGUCCUCAGCCAGACAGCUGAAACUCAGGAAUGUCGCUCCGGAGAUCAGACCCACGAUCGGAAGCAGAGAAGAGGCCGAUA